rnacentral:rRNA from 1 species
CGUUAAUAUAUGACUGCCCGUACUGUAAACCGACACAGGUGGUCAGGAUGAGAAAUCUAAGGCGGACAGGCUAACUCUCGUUAAGGAACUCUGCAAAAUAACCUCGUAACUUCGGGAGAAGAGGAGCCCUUGGGUGUUAGUAUCCAUGCGAUACAAAGCGCUCGAGGGUCGCAGUGAAGAGGCUCAAGCAACUGUUUAACAAAAACACAGGUCUAUGCUAAGCUGGAAGGCGAUGUAUAUGGGCUGACACCUGCCCAGUGCUGGAAGGUUAAGAGGAGGAGUGAGAGCUCCGAAUUGAAGCCCCAGUGAACGGCGGCCGUAACUAUAACGGUCCUAAGGUAGCGAAAUUCCUUGUCGGGUAAGUUCCGACCUGCACGAAUGGUGUAAUGAUUUGAGCGCUGUCUUGACGGGAGGCCUGGUGAAAUUGUAUUACCGGUGAAGAUACCGGUUACCUACAGUAGGACGGAAAGACCCCAUGGAGCUUUACUGUAGCUUGGUAUUGGGUUUUGGCAUUGCAUGUAUAGGAUAGUUGGGAGACUAUGAUGAUAUGGCGCUAGCUGUAUCGGAGUCAUCGGUGGAAUACCAACCAUUCAAUGCUGAAAUUCUAAUCUGUGGUUUGUAGCCACGGAGACAGUGCUAGGUGGGCAGUUUGACUGGGGCGGUCGCCUCCGAAAGAGUAACGGAGGCGUUCAAAGGUUCUCUCAGGUUGGAUGGAAAUCAACCAUAGAGUGCAAUGGCAUAAGAGAGCUUGACUGCAAGACUGACGGGUCGAGCAGAUGCGAAAGCAGGACAUAGUGAUCCGGCGAUUCCGAAUGGAAGGGUCGUCGCUCAACGGAUAAAAGCUACCCUGGGGAUAACAGGCUGAUCCUACCCGAGAGUCCAUAUCGACGGUAGGGUUUGGCACCUCGAUGUCGGCUCAUCGCAUCCUGGGGCUGGAGAAGGUCCCAAGGGUUGGGCUGUUCGCCCAUUAAAGCGGUACGUGAGCUGGGUUCAGAACGUCGUGAGACAGUUCGGUCCCUAUCCACUGUAGGCGUUAGAAUAUUGAGAAGACCUGUCCUUAGUACGAGAGGACCGGGAUGGACAAACCUCUGAUGUACCAGUUGUCACGCCAGUGGCACAGCUGGGUAGUCACGUUUGGAAUAGAUAACCGCUGAAAGCAUCUAAGCGGGAAACUAACUUCAAGAUAAGUAUUCUUUAAGAUACCUUCGAGCCUAGGAGGUUGAUAGGUUGGGGGUGUAAGUACAGCAAUGUAUUUAGCUGACCAAUACUAAUUAUCGAAGUUUUAAUCUA